GAUGAACGCUGGCGGCGUGCCUAAUACAUGCAAGUCGAGCGAGCAGACGAGGAGCUUUCUCCUCUGACGUUAGCGGCGGACGGGUGAGUAACACGUGGAUAACCUACCUAUAAGACUGGGAUAACUUCGGGAAACCGGAGCUUAUACCGGAUAAUAUGUUGAACAGCAUUGUUCAACAGUGAAAGACGGUUGUUCUGUCGCUUAUAGAUGGAUCCGCGUCGCAUCAGCUAGUUGGUAAGGUAACUGCUUAGCAAGGCAACGAUGCGUAGCCGACCUGAGAGGGUGAUCGGCCACACUGGAACUGAGGCACGGUCGACACUCCUACAGUGGGCAGCAGCAGGGACUCUUACGCGAUGGGCGAAAGCCUGACGGAGCAACGCCGCGUGAGUGAAGAAGGUCUUAGGAUCGUAAAACUCUGUUAGUAGGAAAGAAGAAAUGUGUAAGUAACUAUGAACGUCUUGACAGUACCUAAUGAGAAAGCCACGGCUAACUACGUG
rnacentral:rRNA from 1 species